GCCAGACUCCUACGGGAGGCAGCAGUGGGGAAUAUUGCACAAUGGGGGAAACCCUGAUGCAGCAACGCCGCGUGAGUGAAGAAGUCAUUCGUGAUGUAAAGCUCUAUCAGCAGGGAAGAAAAUGACGGUACCUGACUAAGAAGCCCCGGCUAACUACGUGCCAGCAGCCGCGGUAAUACGGAGGAUGCGAGCGUUAUCCGGAUUUAUUGGGUUUAAAGGGUGCGUAGGCGGACGCUUAAGUCAGCGGUAAAAUUGCGGGGCUCACCCUCGUCGAGCCGUUGAAACUGGGUGCCUUGAGUGGGCGAGAAGUACGCGGAAUGCGUGGUGUAGCGGUGAAAUGCAUAGGUAUCACGCAGAACUCCGAUUGCGAAGGCAGCAUACCGGCGCCCAACUGACGCUGAAGCACGAAAGCGUGGGUAUCGAACAGGAUUAGAUACCCUUGUA
rnacentral:rRNA from 1 species